GAUUGACAGAUGUUAUUUGUUAGGGGAUUUCAGCAAAGUUGUUUUCUACACUUGUGAUUAUCAGCCCUGGAUGCAUAUGGGAAUCUACCAGUUUUGCCGUCACUGAGGAAAUGAAUGUGGGCUGCAGGACUUUUGAAUCAACAUGCAAAGAUUUUGCUUGUCUUGCUAACAGCUGCUCUCCAGCACUGAAGGCCUGAUCUACGUCACUGCUAUCGUCACUCCAAAUUGAAAAGGAAGAUAAAGUAACCCAAAAAUGAAUGAACUUCAUGGAACUAUCC
rnacentral:lncRNA from 1 species